rnacentral:rRNA from 1 species
AACGGCCGUACCAUGCUGAAUAUACCGGUCCUCGUUAGAUCACCGAAGUUAAGCAUCAUUGGGCGCGGUCAGUACUUGGGUGGGUGACCACCUGGGAACACUGCGUGCCGUU